AUUUAAGCAGACGAGAAAUAAAUACUUUCAUGUUGUGUCUCUUCGCACAAAGAAGUGGACAGAAUAGUGUGCUGGUCUCCAGUGUGUCCAUCCGUGGAAGCUGUCCAGGAGUAUUUGAGCCAUGAACGUUCCAAAGUGUCCUAGUUGUCAUCAGUCUAAUGUGGGAGAUUUGGACGGUCAGUGUGCGGUCUGCAGGUCUUGCUCUAAAUUGAAGAGGUCCGUGUUUCGGUUCUGCCUGGCGUGUCAGAGAGAGUGGCCACGCGACACUCCGCCCACCAAUUCCUGCACGCUGCCAAACUGUGCGCUCCUUGCUGCACUCCUCAGCAACACAAAAAUCACUGACCCACACAGUUCGGCGAGAGGAUGUCCAUAUUUCAGGGCCUGUCCAGGGUGCAAGGCCCUGCUUACACACAAUGGAAAAGGCUGUCCCAACAUCAUGUGCCCUCAUUGUAGCACACCCUUCUGCUUCCGCUGCCUCCGUCAGUGGUGCCCUGGGCUGGAGAAUAUUGAAGCCCUUGGGAUUCUUACCAAUAGACUGUUCCGUUUUCAAGAUUAUGAUAUAACUCCAUGUAGAGUUGUGGACAAUAAACAGAGUCUCACAGUUUUUGGACUGUAAUGAGAAAGUUUUGAACAUAAGAUCUGUUAAAUGCUAAAAACCAAUGAAAUAUGGCCAGUUAAGGCCUACCCUAUAUGUGAUUUAUAUAGGAAUACCUGUUAAACAUGCUAUUGAAAACAUUGUUAUUCUUGUAUAUGUUUAGAAAAAGGUAAGUCUAAAAAAAAAAAUAAUAAU